rnacentral:rRNA from 1 species
AGUGAACGCUGGCGGUAGGCCUAACACAUGCAAGUCGAACGGCAGCACAGUAAGAGCUUGCUCUUACGGGUGGCGGGUGGCGGACGGGUGAGGAAUACAUCGGAAUCUACUUUUUCGUGGGGGAUAACGUAGGGAAACUUACGCUAAUACCGCAUACGACCUACGGGUGAAAGCAGGGGAUCUUCGGACCUUGCGCGAUUGAAUGAGCCGAUGUCGGAUUAGCUAGUUGGCGGGGUAAAGGCCCACCAAGGCGACGAUCCGUAGCUGGUCUGAGAGGAUGAUCAGCCACACUGGAACUGAGACACGGUCCAGACUCCUACGGGAGGCAGCAGUGGGGAAUAUUGGACAGUGGGCGCAAGCCUGAUCCAGCCAUACCGCGUGGGUGAAGAAGGCCUUCGGGUUGUAAAGCCCUUUUGUUGGGAAAGAAAAGCAGCAGGUUAAUACCCCGCUGUUCUGACGGUACCCAAAGAAUAAGCACCGGCUAACUUCGU